UGCUAAAUAAUAUAUUAACAAAUCUAUAAAUUUUAUAUAGAUAUUGCAUGAUACCAUGUCCAUAAGGUUGAGCUAAUACCAUUUAUGUAAAGGUGUGCUUACUCGUUCUUUCUAUUGAUUUUCUAUAUCUAACUUCAAGAAAGGAAUCCCUACUUUUCUGCUAUGUAUAUAUAGAAGAAGUGAUCUAGAGUGUCGUAUUUUAUGUGAUUUUCUACAGUGAACUUCUCCAAGCAUUUUGAUUGGUCUUAUCCAUACAAGUUUGUCUUUUGUACAGAAAAGUUUUUUCUCAGCUUAAGGUUUCCUUGAUUGUCUCUGUAGAGUAAGAGAUUACUAUGCUGAAAACUGUUGUAAUUGUGAUUAAUAUAACAGAAAAGAUGAGAAAUCUCACUAUUGUGUUAAAUGGAAGAAGCUAUAAAGAAAUGAUAUCUCUAUAUUUAGAACGGAAUUGUGCCAAGGAGGCAAUGCCGCCCCAAAUAUGUGGAGAUAAUGCUUGCCGACCUAGUAAAGAUGAGGGAUGUAAAAUAAAAAAGUUAAUUACCUUUCUUCCUCUCUUGCGUUACUGCAUUCAGUAUAUUCUAGAUUUGAUAUAAGCACUCAUUUGGCUCCUAUUAGAUCUAACCUAUUUGCUUAGUUCACUACCCUUAUAUUUCAGUUCGGAUCUUCCUGUAGCUUUUGUUCCUUUCAGUAAUCAGCCUUACUCAUUUUAUAAUCAGUCCUGGGUUUCCAACCACCAGACAUGGUUUAUAAUAAUAUGGUGGCCUUCUUUUGACUCACAGAGUCAACUGAUGUGCACUGAUUUCCUUAAUUUAUUUCAGUAAGAGAAAGAUGAUAGUGUAACAGAAGCAAAAGCAACACAAGCUUCCAUUGAUAUUAUUGGAUUUUAUUAGAUGGUAUAGGUCUCAAUUGCAGGAGAACUAAAAUAUAAUGGUUUAUUUUCAUAUAUUUUCCUUGCAACAACAGCAACAUAUACCCAAUGUAAUCCCAUAAGUGGAAUUUGGAGAGGUAGCGUGUACACAGACCUUACUCUACCUGGGAGGCAUAGAGGUUGUUUCUGAUAGACCCUUUGCUCAACUAAAAACAUUGUUUUUUAUUUUAAGAAGAUAUGUUGUAAGUUAUCGAAUUAUCAUGAUUGGAUCUUUGUUAUCUGUGUAGAACGGCAAAGCCGACAAGUUCGAGUCUACACAAAGGUUCCACCUUCUAGCAAUAAAAGAAACUUUUAUGGUAUUGGAUAUGGUAGCAAUAUUGGCAACACAAAGAGUCCCUCGAUAAAGAAGGCUAAAAUAGAGUUUGUCAAAAGUUGGUUGGAAAAUUGUGCCAAGAUAUUUUAAUGAUAUGAAGAAAGUGAACAUGGACAACAUUUUUUAUCAUGCUAAUGUUGCUGUCAAGAACCCUUACUCUGUUCCAGUACCCAUCAUGCAAAUCUCUUACACCCUCAAAUGCGCUGGCAGGU